UACAGAGACUGCAAGCGUUAUUCGGAUUCACUGGGCGUAAAGGGUGCGCAGGCGGUCGGGUGUGUCAGAUGUGAAAUCCCUAGGCUCAACCUAGGAACUGCACUCGAAACUGUUUAUCUUGAGUGCCGGGAGAGGAAAGCGGAAAUUCCUGGUGUAGAGGUGAAAUUCGUAGAUAUCAGGAGGAACACCAGUGGCCGAAGGCGGCUUUCUGGACGG
rnacentral:rRNA from 1 species